UGGUAGAGUGAAACUGCGGAUAGCUCAUUACAACGCCUCUAUUUUAUUUGAUAGUCAUCUACAGGAUAACCGUAGAAAAUCUAGAGCUAAUACUUGCAUUGAUAUCCAGUUUUGGUUAACUGGAUGCAUUUAUUAGAUAUCCGAUCGCACGUAGUCGCAAGACUUCAGGCGAAAGGUGAUUCUAGAUGACUUUGCUGAUCGUAUGGCUUUAUGCUGACGACAGAUCAAUUAAAAUCGCGCCCUAUCAAUUUGUAGUUAGGAUAUUUUCCUAACUAGAUUGCGACGGGUGACGGGGAAUCAGGGUUCGAUUCCGGAGAGGCAGCUUGAGAUAUCGCUACCACAUCUAAGGAAGGCAGCAGGCGCGCAAAUUACCCACUCCCGAACUGGGGAGGUAGUGACGAGAAUUAUCGGUCUUACUCUUUGAGCAAAAGACCGGAAUGGACGAAAUUCAGGUCCAUUCGUGAAAACUAGCGAGGGGGCAAGUCUGGUGCCAGCAGCCGCGGUAAUUCCAGCCUCGCAUGUAAAUGUAAAAUUUGUUGCAUUUAAAAAGCUCGUAGUCCGGACAGUUUCACGACAUUUUGUUCAAAGCCAGCUGCAACUCGGCUAGCCAGUUACGAAGGGUUUUGAAUUGGUCAAUUAGUCGUUGCAACUGGAUGAAUAGUCGUGAACAAUCACAAGUUUCGCUUAUACACUUAAUUGUGUGUAGGACUGAAAAUUUGUGGACGUACCUUGAACAAAUCGGUUUGUUCAAAACAGGCCAUAUUGAGCGCCUGGACAUUCGAGCAUGGAAUGAUCGAUCGAGACCUGAUCGUUUGGUCGGAAACGAGUAAGGUCCAGGUCAAAAGGGACAUUUGGGGGCAUACGAACUCGGCAGCGAGAGGUGAAAUUCUAAGACCUGCCGAGGUCGAACUAAAGCGAAAGCAUUUGCCAAGAAUGUUUUCAUUGAUCAAGAACGAAAGUUGGAGGAUCAAAAACGAUCAGAUACCGUUGUAGUUCCAACUUUAAACCUAUGCCGACUGUAGGGGCCCAGUUCGGUAUAUCCG
rnacentral:rRNA from 1 species